AGCAAACGGAUUAAGAAACGGCGACUGAAUUUCCGUCGCCAGAAAGAAAAAGGCAACGCUCUCAUCCCAAUUCUCUUCCCUUUCUUCUUCAUUUCCUCUCUUCUCUCCACAAUUCACAGUGAAGAAAAAUCGCAAAUGGAAAACAACACCACCGACAACAGCAACAGCAACAACAGCAACUGUGGUGGCUCCAUCAUGUCCUGCGACAAGCUCGACCGAAUGGCCAACUGGGUCGGCGCCAACAUGGCUUCUGCUUUCUUCGCUUCCUUGGAGCGUUGCUCUUGCAUCAAUCUCAGCACCACCGACAACGAAGACGACAACAACAACACCACCAACAGUGAUGAUCGUGCUCUCAUGCUCACCAACCCUGUUUCCUCCUCUGCUGCCCCCACCACCACCGCCACCGCCACCGCCAAGGCUCAAUCUUGAUUAGCGUUUGAACUGUUCUUGUUAUUGGGUAUGUGAAAUUCUUGUAAAAAAGGAGUCUUUUUGCUUUUGGAAUUCAUGGGUCGAGUUCAAUUUCAUGUGAUCUGAUGAUUGAACCUUUGUAGGGUUUAACUCUAUCUCUCUGUUUUUCUGUUGUUUAUAAAUUAUAAUAAUUUUCGGUUAA